AGGGGCGUAAGUAGAUGGAGUAUGCCACACUUGGUUGACAAAUGCAAAUACUUCGAGAGGCUAUCCCAGCAGACCCCACUGUGGUUUGAGGGUUUUCUCGUCAUCUUGCAUUAGAGAAAAUGAUGCUGAAUCACAUACACUUAACAAAUCAAAAAGCAACAAACAUAUGCUGGCCUUGACAGCUCUACCACUGGCUGGUUCCAGCAGGCCCUGGGUUGUGUGUGUUGGGGCUCCUCCCCAGAGAGAUGAAGAGAUGGACCGACAGUAACAGAAGGCCCUCGAAG
rnacentral:lncRNA from 1 species